rnacentral:rRNA from 1 species
GACGGAGGAUGCAAGUGUUAUCCGGAAUCACUGGGCGUAAAGCGUCUGUAGGUGGUUCAAUAAGUCAACUGUUAAAUCUUGAGGCUCAACUUCAAAAUCGCAGUCGAAACUAUUGGACUCGAGUAUAGUAGGGGUAAAGGGAAUUUCCAGUGGAGCGGUGAAAUGCGUAGAGAUUGGAAAGAACACCAAUGGCGAAAGCACUUUACUGGGCUAUUACUGACACUGAGAGACGAAAAGCU